rnacentral:rRNA from 1 species
CAAGGUAGUGAGGAAGGUGGGGAUGACGUCAAAUCAGCACGGCCCUUACGUCCAGGGCUACACACGUGCUACAAUGGCCGGUACAAAGGGCAGCUACCUGGUGACAGGAUGCUAAUCUCAAAAGCCGGUCUCAGUUCGGAUCGGAGUCUGCAACCCGACUCCGUGAAGCUGGAAUCGCUAGUAAUCGAGCAUCAGCAUGGCGCGGUGAAUACGUUCCCGGGCCUU